AUUAAUCCAACCCCCCCUAGCCUAACAGUCUAUAUACCGCCGUCGCCAGCAUACCUUCUGAAAGAAAUAAAGUAAGCUAAACAGUUACCACACUAACACGACAGGUCGAGGUGUAACUAAUGGGCGGGUCAAGAUGGGCUACAUUUUCUAAAAUAGAAAAUACGAACUAAACUAUGAAAAAGAAACUGAAGGCGGAUUUAGCAGUAAAUUAAGGACAUAAUACUUAAUCGAAAUUAAUGCAAUGAGGUGCGUACACACCGCCCGUC
rnacentral:rRNA from 1 species